rnacentral:rRNA from 1 species
CAGCAGUAGGGAAUCUUCCGCAAUGGGCGCAAGCCUGACGGAGCAACGCCGCGUGAGCGAAGAAGGCCUUCGGGUUGUAAAGCUCAGUCAUUCGGGAAGAGCGGACAGGAGAGGGAAUGCUCCUGUCGAGACGGUACCGGAAGAGGAAGCCCCGGCUAACUACGUG